rnacentral:rRNA from 1 species
UACAGAGAGUGCAAGCGUUAAUCGGAAUUACUGGGCGUAAAGCGCACGUAGGUGGAUAUUUAAGUCGAAUGUGAAAGCCCUGGGCUUAACCCGGGAACUGCAUCCGAUACUGGAUAUCUAGAGUAUGGUAGAGGGAAGUGGAAUUUCCGGUGUAGCGGUGAAAUGCGUAGAUAUCGGAAAGAACACCAGUGGCGAAGGCGGCUUCCUGGCCUGUUCUUGACGCUGAGGAGCGAAAGUGUGGGGAGCGAACAGG